rnacentral:tRNA from 1 species
GAGGAUAUAGCUCAAUGGUAGAAUGCAUGCUUUGCAUGCAUGAGGUCCUCAGUUCAAUUCCCAGUGCCUUA